CUGAACAGGGAGCAUUAUAAAUACUUGAUGGGAUGCUCUGCUUUGGGCUUCAUGCAGUGGGGUGACUCUCGUAACUGGGAAUGUCCACUGGGAGGACCCUGAAAGCCAUGCCUACAGAGUUGUUACAAGACGCACUGGCUCUUGUGAAGCAUAAGACUACUGUGCCAGGCUGGCUCUACCACGGUCUUCUUCAGGAUCUCAUGUCCCCGCAUCUCAGCAAUCACUAGACGGCUGCAGAGACUGCUAUACGGGCUGAAGCAAAAUGUCUUGACGCUGUCUUGCUGGGCAGUACAGAAGAGCAAUGGAUGGACAGACUUUUUCACCAGAACAGCUGGGUUCAAACCUUGGCUCUACCACAUACACCACCUCUAUGACUUUCGGAUGUAUAAAGUGACGGGACCAGAGACCAGCAAAUGACUCCGAGAACAUGUAAUAUAAAACCAAAACCAAAACCAAAACACAACCAUUUGGGGCCAGACCUGGACUGCUUCUCUUGCCCUAAUGGCUGGAAGGAGGUAUAAACGGCACUCCUCACACGUUCAAGUGAGCUUACCAGCUGAGAUUUGCUAUUUCUGAUCAAAGAGACUGCCAUUUUCCAAUACAGAUUAUGAACGGAGAAAAAUAAGCAAGUGAAGAUCUUUAAAUAAAGGAUUAAGUAAAACCAUAUGGCCAGGUUGAUUUUCAAAUUCCUGCUUAUGAUUCUAACCAAUUUCAUUGCACAUAUUCUCCCAAGAAUUCAAACUUGUAAGGUUAUUUGCUUAACAUAUUUGAAUAUUAAAAUAUUUACAAAAUGGAUUUUUAAAAACUUUAGGUCAGUACAAAAUACAUCCUUUUUUUUUAAUGUUUAUUUAUUAUUGAGAGAGAGAAAGCGUGCGCGCGUGCGUGCUUGGGCGCACGCACAAACAGGGGAGAGGCAGAAAGAGAGGCAGACAGAGGAUCCUAAGCAGGCUCUGUGUUGGGCUGUCAGCAGAGAGCCUGAUGUGGGGCUUCAAGCUCAUGAGCUGGGAGAUCAUGACCCAAGCUGAACUUGGACACUCAACUGACUGAGACACCCAGGAGCCCCAGUACAAAAUACGUCCUUGAGAGACUUUUUUUUUUUAUACUUUUAUCACACUUUUUAGACAAUGAAAAUAUCAUAUA